rnacentral:tRNA from 1 species
AUUUAAAUAGUUUAUUUAAAACAUUGAUUUGUGGUAUCAAAAAUAUAAAAUUAAUUUAUUUUAAAUC